GUCACGUUACUGUGAGACGUCAGAGAGUUGAACGCUUUAGGAGCCAAGUUACCCUUUAGAACAGUGGUCGCCAACCGGUCGAUCGCUCCUUUUUUAAAUCGUGUUGAGCUGUUGCCGGUAGGUGCACUUGAUUCAAAAGUCCUGUGCACCGGGUAAGCAAAGUGUUCCCAUGAGACAAACUCCGCAUACCCGGCAAAUCUGUGACUAAAUCGAGUGCACCUACUGCGCUGCCCAAUCGGAUAGCUCAAAUCACUGUGGCUACAGAGCUUCCAUGACCCUGGCCACAGCCAAGUGUAAUAAGCUCCUAACCUACGUAAGAUUUAAUCACUUUUAAAACCAUGACCACAGAGAGACUGUCACCGAACACAGCAAAGAGCUUCUGUUUUUAUGAGUGAGUUUAAGUUUAUAUUCAGCACUGGCACUGUUUUUAUUCAACACUAUUAAAAAACAUGCUUCUCCGUACUUCUGCUCGGGCUGCAGCUGCAAUGAAUGAGUAGCCAAGUAUCGAUAGCCCUGCAUUUUAUUAUAUUUAUUAUCAGCUCGUCGUGUUGAUUUUAGUAUUAAGGAAUAUUUAACAUUCUCUGGUCAUAGGAACAGCAUGAAUUUGUGCAUGAGGCAGAUGCGAUGCAACUCGAGUUUCGCCAUCAGGUGGAAGACGGUGUCCCCUCUCUCUGGUCAGUCUUACCGGAGGAAAGGACGGAGAGAGCAGGUGGAAGACGGUGUCCCCUCUCUCUGGUCAGUCUUACCGGAGGAAAGGACGGAGAGAGCAGGUGGAAGACUGCGUCCCCUCUCUCUGGUCAUCAGUCUCACCGGAGGAAAGGAAGGAGAGAGCAGGUGGAAGACGGUGUCCCCUCUCUCUGGUCAGUCUCAGCGGAGGAAAGGGAGGAGAGAGCAGGUGGAAGACGGUGUCCCCUCUCUCUGGUCAUCAGUCUCACCGGAGGAAAGGAAGGAGAGAGCAGGUGGAAGACUGUGUCCCCUCUCUCUGGUCAUCAGUCUCACCGGAGGAAAGGAAGGAGAGAGCAGGUGGAAGACGGUGUCCCCUCUCUCUGGUCAUCAGUCUCACCGGAGGAAAGGAAGGAGAGAGCAGGUGGAAGACUGUAUCCCCUCUCUCUGGUCAGUCUCACCGGAGGAAAGGAAGGAGAGAGCAGGUGGAAGACGGUGUCCCCUCUCUCUGGUCAGUCUCACCGGAGGAAAGGAAGGAGAGAGCAGGUGGAAGACGGUGUCCCCUCUCUCUGGUCAGUCUCAGCGGAGGAAAGGGAGGAGAGAGCAGGUGGAAGACGGUGUCUCCUCUCUCUGGUCAUCAGUCUCACCGGAGGAAAGGGAGGAGAGAGCAGGUGGAAGACGGUGUCCCCUCUCUCUGGUCAUCAGUCUCACCGGAGGAAAGGAAGGAGAGAGCAGGUGGAAGACGGUGUCCCCUCUCUCUGGUCAGUCUCACCGGAGGAAAGGGAGGAGAGAGCAGGUGGAAGACGGUGUCCCCUCUCUCUGGUCAUCAGUCUCACCGGAGGAAAGGAAGGAGAGAGCAGGUGGAAGACGGUGUCCCCUCUCUCUGGUCAGUCUCACCGGAGGAAAGGAAGGAGAGAGCAGGUGGAAGACUGUGUCCCCUCUCUCUGGUCAGUCUCACCGGAGGAAAGGGAGGAGAGAGCAGGUGGAAGACGGUGUCCCCUCUCUCUGGUCAUCAGUCUCACCGGAGGAAAGGGAGGAGAGAGCAGGUGGAAGACGGUGUCCCCUCUCUCUGGUCAGUCUCACCGGAGGAAAGGAAGGAGAGAGCAGGUGGAAGACGGUGUCCCCUCUCUCUGGUCAUCAGUCUCACCGGAGGAAAGGGAGGAGAGAGCAGGUGGAAGACGGUGUCCCCUCUCUCUGGUCAGUCUCACCGGAGGAAAGGAAGGAGAGAGCAGGUGGAAGACGGUGUCCCCUCUCUCUGGUCAGUCUCAGCGGAGGAAAGGGAGGAGAGAGCAGGUGGAAGACGGUGUCUCCUCUCUCUGGUCAUCAGUCUCACCGGAGGAAAGGGAGGAGAGAGCAGGUGGAAGACGGUGUCCCCUCUCUCUGGUCAUCAGUCUCACCGGAGGAAAGGAAGGAGAGAGCAGGUGGAAGACGGUGUCCCCUCUCUCUGGUCAGUCUCACCGGAGGAAAGGGAGGAGAGAGCAGGUGGAAGACGGUGUCCCCUCUCUCUGGUCAUCAGUCUCACCGGAGGAAAGGAAGGAGAGAGCAGGUGGAAGACGGUGUCCCCUCUCUCUGGUCAGUCUCACCGGAGGAAAGGAAGGAGAGAGCAGGUGGAAGACUGUGUCCCCUCUCUCUGGUCAGUCUCACCGGAGGAAAGGGAGGAGAGAGCAGGUGGAAGACGGUGUCCCCUCUCUCUGGUCAUCAGUCUCACCGGAGGAAAGGGAGGAGAGAGCAGGUGGAAGACGGUGUCCCCUCUCUCUGGUCAGUCUCACCGGAGGAAAGGAAGGAGAGAGCAGGUGGAAGACGGUGUCCCCUCUCUCUGGUCAUCAGUCUCACCGGAGGAAAGGGAGGAGAGAGCAGGUGGAAGACGGUGUCCCCUCUCUCUGGUCAGUCUCACCGGAGGAAAGGAAGGAGAGAGCAGGUGGAAGACGGUGUCCCCUCUCUCUGGUCAGUCUCACCGGAGGAAAGGGAGGAGAGAGCAGGUGGAAGACGGUGUCCCCUCUCUCUGGUCAGUCUCACCAGAGGAAAGGGAGGAGAGAGCAGGGACCGUGAGAGGAAGACCCUCUCUCAGGUCAGUCUCACCAGAGGAAAGGGAGGAGAGAGCAGGGACCGUGAGAGGUGGUUGGUAAAAAAUUGUUUUGAACGGUCAUCCAACUCGGAAUUCCAAGUCGGAAACUCGGGCAUCUUUCUAAAG
rnacentral:lncRNA from 1 species